UGAUGGGUUGUGGGGAACCGCCUACAGGAAGGGACUGCUGGAGGCAGAACAGCCCUCAACCUGAAAGGACCCGUGCCCAAACCGAAGGGCAGGCAUCUCCUUCUCCCCCUCCUCGCCCUUCCCUUAUGCUCACAAACCCCAGCUCCCUGCUACUUUUUAUAACGCUUUAUUCGAGAAUCCUGCUACACAUCCAGAAAACAAUCCCACCCUACGGAAUUCAUUUCUGCACUCCAAAUGCUGGGCGCGAGACGGGCUCAGAUACCCAGUGUUGGUGAGGACAAGAAGGGUUACAGCUACAUGUGACCAGUGGCUGCCGUAUCAGACCACUUCCAAAUGGAAACAAGUCCCAGAAGACCAGGAAGUCACCCCAGGUGGGCAGCGAGCAGAAAGAGAAGAGACGUCUGGUCCGGAGUGCAUUGUGCUGGGAAGACUUAAGUCACGUUCAGGCAACUUUUGUCUCAGUUAUUUGAAUACAUUUUGUGUCCUGGUUGGCAUGAAAAUGUAUUCUUACUGGGAGUCACGGUGAGGAAUGGGCGAGGCUCGAGGCUAUAGUGACCAGAGUCUCCUGUCUCCUUGGUGGAGGAGGGAAAGAGGCUGAGAGGGACCAGGGGACCCACCCACGGUCACACAGCCAGAGGAGCUGUUCUGGAGUCCAGCUUCCCAGGCUCUGAGUUCUGAGCCUGCAUUUCAUGGCUUCUUCCCUGACCUUGACCUCUAUCACCAUUGUUAUGACCCCCCCCCCCCAACACACACACACACAUACAAUAAAGGACUGCCUUGUGGUCAGCCCCACCAGGGCACACCUGUCCCCGGGUCAGCCAUACCUCCUCCUCAGUCCUCAACCUCAGUUCCCAAAAAGGUCCCUUCAGUGUUUAUAAAAGAGAAAGCCCCAGAGGCCUGACCUCCCCGUGGCCCCCUCCUCCCUGGCCUGGGGUAUCAGCUGUUGACUGCAGCUGCCCUGAGGCUGAGGGGAGCCACAGGUGUGGGACCAGACCUCCCCAGGCUGCCGGCCCGCUGGCCUCCUCCGGCCCCAGCCUGCUGUUGACCUUCAGCGGGUCUUGGCAAUGCACUCAGCAAGGCCCCAGAGGAGACCCCCGAAGGGAAACACAAACCUCGAAAUGGAUUUUCUUUUUCUCCAUGAGCAAAAAAAAGUUGAAUAAGAAAUAAGUUACUAUUUUUACUGCUGGGAUCCAGUUGUUAUGGUAACUGAGGGCCUCGAGGGAGUCAGGGUUGGCCUGCCAGUGAAGGAGAUGAGGUGGGGGUUCCAGGGGCAGCGGUGGCAGCCACCGGACGAGCCUUGGACUACCGACUGUGGGAUUUCUGGCACCCCUGCCCCUGGCUCUGCGCGCCCCCCCCCCCCCCGCCGUGACGGAAGGCCACCUGUGCCCAUAUAACCCUGGCCAGUGGCCCCUGGCAACUUCUCCCUUUGGUGCAAGCCCACCAUCUCCUGCUGGCUGUGUGGUCUCGGGCUCCCCCGGCCUUGUCGCCGAGCCUGUCCUUCACUGCUCCUGGGGGGGGGGGGGGAGUGGUUAUUGUGCCCUCAUCUCCACAUGCAGCUUUCGACCCCCACCACAGUGACCACCACGGGCACCUGAGCGAUCAGCCCCACGAGCCCUGCUGGCCAAAACCCAAUUCUUCCUCUGCCGUUCCUCUUCCAGCCCCUCUCCAGAAGGCGGCCCCACACCACCCCCUGGGCCCGGUUCGCCGUGGCUGGAAGCUCUGAACGCGGCCUUCCCAGGAUCCGAGGCCGGCCUCCACCUCCACCUAGCUUUGUGCCCUGAACCAGGUGCUUCCCAUUCGAGGCUGUUUCCCCACUUGUAAAGUGGAAGUUAACAGCACCCACCCUGCAGGAUUACUGAAGGAACAAAGGCCGCCUGGGCCCGAUGUUCUUGCUGGCAAUGUGUCUCCCCAUUCAGUCCCCUCUGUAGCACUACAUGGUAGGAGGUGCCGUUCCUAAUUUGCGGACAAGGAGCCGUGUUCAGGCAGGCCAAGUCCCACAGCAAGCCACACAGCACAUCUGUCUGUGCUGAAGUGCCCUGCACUGCAUGGGCACUGAUGAAACACCUACCGUGUUCCCGGCUCAUCAGAUGCGCAGAGUGGCAAGCAGCGACUUCCAUCCCCGAUCAGUAGCUACGACAUGGGCCCCUAUAUACGCCUAGCAGCGUCUGCCUGCAAAGUCCUCGUUGUCUCUGGCAAAGCCACAAAUCUUCCCUACCAGAGUGACUUUCUGAAACGCAAGUCUGACGAAGCCCCUCUCCCUAAAACCCUUCAGUGGCUCCCACUGCUUUCAGGAUGGAGUCAGGAUAGAAAAACGACCUCACCCACCGUGCACAUGCAAUAAAUGAAUCCAAACUCCCCCCAAACAUGCAUGGCUUUCUCGUGCUCUGUGGCUACACAGGUGCCGUUCCCUCUGCCUGGAAGGCCUUUCCUCCUUAGUUUGCCUGGCAGAUCUCUAUUUAUUCUUCCAGACCCAGUUUAAAGUUCUCCUUUGUUGGACCUUUAGGGGAAAUGGCUUCUCCUCCCUUUUAUGCCACCUUUGAGCCAGUGUCAGGGCCCCACGGGAUCAUCUUGUAGGUGCCCACCAGCCAAGGACUACCAGGACCGGUGCCUGUGGUAAGGUUUAUCAACGGGCUGCAAUUAGGGGGAGGGCCCAAUGUGGGGAACUGGAGGGGUCUCCAUGAGGGGCGUUAGGAAGGACUUUCGGCAGAAUUUGUACUUGCCUUAGGUACUUAGGGAAGUUCAAGGUAGUGUCACUUUACUGAGGCCCUCCUUUUUAUUGGACACUCAGGGGGCGCCUGGGUGGCUCAGUCACUUAGGCGUCUGACUUCGGCUCAGGUCAUGAUCUCACAGUUUGUGGGUUCAAACCCC